GAAAUGCGAUAAGUAAUGUGAAUUGCAGAAUUCAGUGAAUCAUCGAAUCUUUGAACGCACCUUGCACCCCUUGGCCAUUCCGAGGGGUAUGCCUGUUUGAGUAUCAUGAACACUUCAACUCUCAUGGUUUGCCAUGAUGGGCUUGGACUCUGGGGGUUUUGCUGGCCUCUGUGGUCAGCUCCUCUCAAAUGAAUCAGCUUGCCCAGUAUUUGGGGGCAUCGUGGGUGUGAUAACUAUCUACGCCUGUGGUCGUCUGCCAUGUAACCUUCUGUGAUGGAGGUUUGCUGGGGCUUACAAACGCCCUCUCCUCAGCGAGGAUGGCAUUUUGAAUGUUUGAUCUCAAAUCAGGUAGGACUACCCGCUGAACUUAA
rnacentral:rRNA from 1 species